rnacentral:lncRNA from 1 species
UAUUAGAGGGUGGAUGAGAAAAAAAAGAGGGUAGCUGUCUUGGGAGAAGUGCUUGUGGAAUCCAUCUCAAGGAGGAGGUGAAGAUCUUAUUUAAGGCAUCUCAAGAGGAAGAAGAACCUUGUGCAAACCUACACUCGAUGAGAUUGUUCUCAUUUUAUUAUUGGAGCCUAAACUCUUUUUUUAUAUAAACUCUUUGUUUGUGAUCCAAGAAAGAGAUCCUUGAUGUAUGUGAUCCCUAGCUUAGCCUAGAGAAGAUACUUUAUAAGCCCAUUAUUGUUGAUAGUGGAGGUUUGUGGUGGACUUAGGUCCGGUGGUUUUUUUCCUUCAUAUUGGAGGGUUUUCCACCUUAAAUAUUCUUGUUGCUUUCUUGUGGUUUGAUUUUUUGGUAGUUCUUACAUUGAUUAAUUAUUGUGAUAUUCUCAUUCUAUUCACACAAAGAUAGGAAAGUUUUCAUCUAGUGAAGGAGUCUUUCCUAACAAGUGGUAUCAGAGCAAGGUUUUGUGCCUACAAAUUUGAUAAAAUUCUUGUGUGACUCGAAUGGAGGAUUCUAUGGGAGGCAUGAUUAAAUUGACAUCUUCCAACUAUGCCAUUUGGAAACUUUUGAAAAUUUAUAUUCUCAUUAGAAUUUAUCAUGAUUAUUCUAAAAAUAGAAACCUUAAUUCUACCACCCUCAUAUGACUGACCUAGUG